ACGGGUGAGUAAUGCCUAGGAAUCUGCCUAGUAGUGGGGGACAACGUUUCGAAAGGAACGCUAAUACCGCAUACGUCCUACGGGAGAAAGUGGGGGAUCUUCGGACCUCACGCUAUUAGAUGAGCCUAGGUCGGAUUAGCUAGUUGGUAGGGUAAAGGCCUACCAAGGCGACGAUCCGUAACUGGUCUGAGAGGAUGAUCAGUCACACUGGAACUGAGACACGGUCCAGACUCCUACGGGAGGCAGCAGUGGGGAAUAUUGGACAAUGGGCGAAAGCCUGAUCCAGCCAUGCCGCGUGUGUGAAGAAGGCCUUCGGGUCGUAAAGCACUUUAAGUUGGGAGGAAGGGCUCAUAGCGAAUACCUGUGAGUUUUGACGUUACCAACAGAAUAAGCACCGGCUAACUUCGUGCCAGCAGCCGCGGUAAUACGAAGGGUGCAAGCGUUAAUCGGAAUUACUGGGCGUAAAGCGCGCGUAGGUGGCUUGAUAAGUUGGAUGUGAAAUCCCCGGGCUCAACCUGGGAACUGCAUCCAAAACUGUCUGGCUAGAGUGCGGUAGAGGGUAGUGGAAUUUCCAGUGUAGCGGUG
rnacentral:rRNA from 1 species